rnacentral:rRNA from 1 species
GCGUGCUUAAACAUGCAAGUCGAACGAUGAAGCCCUUCGGGGUGGAUUAGUGGCGAACGGGUGAGUAACACGUGGGCAAUCUGCCCUUCACUCUGGGACAAGCCCUGGAAACGGGGUCUAAUACCGGAUACCACUCCUGCCUGCAUGGGCGGGGGUUGAAAGCUCCGGCGGUGAAGGAUGAGCCCGCGGCCUAUCAGCUUGUUGGUGGGGUAAUGGCCCACCAAGGCGACGACGGGUAGCCGGCCUGAGAGGGCGACCGGCCACACUGGGACUGAGACACGGCCCAGACUCCUACGGGAGGCAGCAGUGGGGAAUAUUGCACAAUGGGCGAAAGCCUGAUGCAGCGACGCCGCGUGAGGGAUGACGGCCUUCGGGUUGUAAACCUCUUUCAGCAGGGAAGAAGCGAGAGUGACGGUACCUGCAGAAGAAGCGCCGGCUAACUACGUGCCAGCAGCCGCGGUAAUACGUAGGGCGCAAGCGUUGUCCGGAAUUAUUGGGCGUAAAGAGCUCGUAGGCGGCUUGUCGCGUCGGAUGUGAAAGCCCGGGGCUUAACCCCGGGUCUGCAUUCGAUACGGGCAGGCUAGAGUGUGGUAGGGGAGAUCGGAAUUCCUGGUGUAGCGGUGAAAUGCGCAGAUAUCAGGAGGAACACCGGUGGCGAAGGCGGAUCUCUGGGCCAUUACUGACGCUGAGGAGCGAAAGCGU